rnacentral:rRNA from 1 species
CGCAGCCGCGGUAAUUCCAGCUCCAAUAGCGUAUAUUAAAGUUGUUGCAGUUAAAAAGACUCGUAGUUGAAUUUCGGGGUCAGUAGAUUGGUCGUGCCACUGGUAUGUACUGGUCUUACUGGCUCCUCCUUCCUGAUGAACCGUAAUGCCAUUAAUUUGGUGUUGCGGGGAAACUGGACUGUUACUUUGAAAAGAUUAGAGUGUUUAAAGCAGGCUAACGCUUGAAUACAUUAGCAUGGAAUAAUGAAAUAGGACGUUCGAUCUUAUUUUGUUGGUUUCUUAGGAUUGACGUAAUGAUUAAUAGGGAUAGUUGGGGGCAUUAGUAUUCAAUUGUCAGAGGUGAAAUUCUUGGAUUUAUUGAAGACUAACUACUGCGAAAGCAUUUGCCAAGGAUGUUUUCAUUAAUCAAAGAACGAAAGUUAGGGAUCGAAGACGAUCAGAUACGUCGUAGUCUUAACCAUAAAACUAUAGUCCGACUAGGGAUCGGGAUGAUAGUUAAUUUUUUAAAUGUAACUUCUAU